ACGGAGGGUGCAAGCGUUAAUCGGAAACACUGGGCGUAAAGCGCGCGUAGGCCGUCUUUUAAGUCGGACGUGAAAGCCCUCGGCUCAACCGGGGAACUGCGUUCGAUACUGGGAGACUUGAGUCCUGGAGAGGGUGGAGGAAUUCCGGGUGUAGGAGUGAAAAGCGUAGAUAUCCGGAGGAACACCGGUGGCGAAGGCGGCAAACUGGACAGGUACUGACGCAGAGGAGCGAAAGCGAGGGGAGAAAAAAG
rnacentral:rRNA from 1 species